GCGUUCAGGUGUUGCGAUAGUUUCUGGUACUGGUAAUGGUACAGGUGCUGGGAUCGCUUCAGGUGUUGGGAUGGGUCCAGGUGCUGCGAUAGUUUCUGGUACUGGUAAUGGUACAGGUGCUGGGAUGGGUCCAGGUGCUGCGAUGGGUCCAAGUGCUGGGAUGUGUCCAGGUGCUGCGAUGGGUCCAGGUGCUGAGAUGGGUCCAAGUGCCGAGAACGGUCCAGGUGCAGUAGAUAGUUCCAAUCCUGGGAUUUUUUGA